rnacentral:rRNA from 1 species
UACAGAGGGUGCGAGCGUUGUCCGGAAUUACUGGGCGUAAAGGGCGCGUAGGCGGCCUGAUAAGUAGGGGGUGAAAUUCCGUGGCUCAACCACGGAACUGCCUUCUAAACUGCCAGGCUUGAGCACGGUAGAGGCAGAUGGAAUUCCCGGUGUAGCGGUGGAAUGCGUAGAGAUCGGGAAGAACACCGGUGGCGAAGGCGGUCUGCUGGGCCGUUGCUGACGCUGAUGCGCGACAGCGUGGGGAGCAAACAGG